rnacentral:misc_RNA from 1 species
UUUCCGUAGGUGAACCUGCGGAAGGAUCAUUAACGAGUUAGGGUCUUUUAGGCCCGACCCCCCAACCCUAUGUUUAUUGAACCUCUGUUGCUUCGGCGGACCCGUCUCACGGCCGCCGGAGGACCGCUGCGAGGUGUCCUCUGGUCAGCGUCCGCCGAUGGCCAACCCACUAAACUCUGAAUGAACCGUGUUAUAUGUCUAAGUCUAUGAUUAAAUUAAAGCAAAACUUUCAACAACGGAUCUCUUGGUUCUG